GACGAACGCUGGCGGCGUGCCUAAUACAUGCAAGUAGAACGCUGAAGAGAGGAGCUUGCUCUUCUUGGAUGAGUUGCGAACGGGUGAGUAACGCGUAGGUAACCUGCCUUGUAGCGGGGGAUAACUAUUGGAAACGAUAGCUAAUACCGCAUAACAAUAGGUGACACAUGUCAUUUAUUUGAAAGGGGCAAUUGCUCCACUACAAGAUGGACCUGCGUUGUAUUAGCUAGUAGGUGAGGUAACGGCUCACCUAGGCGACGAUACAUAGCCGACCUGAGAGGGUGAUCGGCCACACUGGGACUGAGACACGGCCCAGACUCCUACGGGAGGCAGCAGUAGGGAAUCUUCGGCAAUGGGGGCAACCCUGACCGAGCAACGCCGCGUGAGUGAAGAAGGUUUUCGGAUCGUAAAGCUCUGUUGUAAGUCAAGAACGAGUGUGAGAGUGGAAAGUUCACACUGUGACGGUAGCUUACCAGAAAGGGACGGCUAACUACGUGCCAGCAGCCGCGGUAAUACGUAGGUCCCGAGCGUUGUCCGGAUUUAUUGGGCGUAAAGCGAGCGCAGGCGGUUUGAUAAGUCUGAAGUUAAAGGCUGUGGCUCAACCAUAGUUCGCUUUGGAAACUGUCAAACUUGAGUGCAGAAGGGGAGAGUGGAAUUCCAUGUGUAGCGGUGAAAUGCGUAGAUAUAUGGAGGAACACCGGUGGCGAAAGCGGCUCUCUGGUCUGUAACUGACGCUGAGGCUCGAAAGCGUGGGGAGCGAACAGGAUUAGAUACCCUGGUAGUCCACGCCGUAAACGAUGAGUGCUAGGUGUUGGAUCCUUUCCGGGAUUCAGUGCCGCAGCUAACGCAUUAAGCACUCCGCCUGGGGAGUACGACCGCAAGGUUGAAACUCAAAGGAAUUGACGGGGGCCCGCACAAGCGGUGGAGCAUGUGGUUUAAUUCGAAGCAACGCGAAGAACCUUACCAGGUCUUGACAUCCCGAUGCUAUUUCUAGAGAUAGAAAGUUACUUCGGUACAUCGGUGACAGGUGGUGCAUGGUUGUCGUCAGCUCGUGUCGUGAGAUGUUGGGUUAAGUCCCGCAACGAGCGCAACCCCUAUUGUUAGUUGCAAUCAUUCAGUUGGGCACUCUAGCGAGACUGCCGGUAAUAAACCGGAGGAAGGUGGGGAUGACGUCAAAUCAUCAUGCCCCUUAUGACCUGGGCUACACACGUGCUACAAUGGUUGGUACAACGAGUUGCGAGUCGGUGACGGCAAGCUAAUCUCUUAAAGCCAAUCUCAGUUCGGAUUGUAGGCUGCAACUCGCCUACAUGAAGUCGGAAUCGCUAGUAAUCGCGGACCAGCACGCCGCGGUGAAUACGUUCCCGGGCCU
rnacentral:rRNA from 1 species